rnacentral:rRNA from 1 species
GAUGAACGCUAGCUACAGGCUUAACACAUGCAAGUCGAGGGGCAGCAUGGACAUAGCUUGCUAUGUUUGAUGGCGACCGGCGCACGGGUGCGUAACACGUAUCCAAUCUGCCCGUUACUCGGGGAUAGCCUUCUGAAAGGAAGAUUAAUACCCGAUGGCAUGUAUUUCCGGCAUCGGAGAUACAUUAAAGAUUUAUCGGUAACGGAUGAGGAUGCGUACGAUUAGCUUGUUGGCGGGGUAACGGCCCACCAAGGCGACGAUCGUUAGGGGUUCUGAGAGGAAGGUCCCCCACACUGGAACUGAGACACGGUCCAGACUCCUACGGGAGGCAGCAGUGAGGAAUAUUGGUCAAUGGUCGGAAGACUGAACCAGCCAAGUAGCGUGAAGGAUGACUGCCCUACGGGUUGUAAACUUCUUUUGUUUGGGAAUAAAAGACGCUACGUGUAGCGUUCUGCAUGUACCUUACGAAUAAGCAUCGGCUAAUUCCGUGCCAGCAG